rnacentral:ncRNA from 1 species
UAAGGGAACGGAACCCACCGGAGCCGUAGCGAAAGCGAGUCUUAAUAGGCCGAUUGUCACUGCUUAUGGACCCGAACCUGGGUGAUCUAUCCAUGACCAGGAUGAAGCUUGGAUGAAACUAAGCAGAGGUCCGAACCGACUGAUGUUGAAGAAUCAGCGGAUGAGUUGUGGUUAGGGGUGAAAUGCCACUCGAACCCAGAGCUA